rnacentral:rRNA from 1 species
CCUACGGGAGGCAGCAGUGGGGAAUAUUGCACAAUGGGGGAAACCCUGAUGCAGCGACGCCGCGUGAGUGAAGAAGUAAUUCGUUACGUAAAGCUCUAUCAGCAGGGAAGAAAAUGACGGUACCUGAGUAAGAAGCCCCGGCUAACUACGUGCCAGCAGCCGCGGUAAUACGGAGGGGGCAAGCGUUAUCCGGAUUUACUGGGUGUAAAGGGAGCGUAGACGGGGGUCCAAGUCUGGAGUGAAAUGCCGCAGCUUAACUGUGGAAUUGCUGUGGAAACUGGCGGCCUGGAGUGCGGACAGGGAAGGCGGAAUUCAUGGUGUAGCGGGGAAAUGCUUAGAUAUCAUGAAGAACUCCGAUCGCGAAGGCAAGUGUCCGGGGUGCAACUGACGCUGAGGCUCGAAAGUGCGGGUAUCAAACAGGAUUAGAUACCCGAGUAGUC